rnacentral:rRNA from 1 species
CUUUUGCUGGCGACCGGCGCAUGGGUGAGUAACACGUAUCCAACCUGCCCUUUACUCGGGGAUAGCCUUUCGAAAGAAAGAUUAAUACCCGAUAGCAUAAUGAUUCCGCAUGGUUUCAUUAUUAAAGGAUUCCGGUAAAGGAUGGGGAUGCGUUCCAUCAGGUUGUUGGUGAGGUAACGGCCCACCAAGCCUUCGAUGGAUAGGGGUUCUGAGAGGAAGGUCCCCCACAUUGGAACUGAGACACGGUCCAA